rnacentral:rRNA from 1 species
UACGGAGGGUGCAAGCGUUACCCGGAAUCACUGGUCGUAAAGGGCGUGUAGGCGGAAUGUUAAGUCUGGUUUUAAAGACUGGGGCUCAACCCCAGGAGUGGACUGGAUACUGGCAAUCUUGACCUCUGGAGAGGUAACUGGAAUUCCUGGUGUAGCGGUGGAAUGCGUAGAUACCAGGAGGAACACCAAUGGCGAAGGCAAGUUACUGGACAGAAGGUGACGCUGAGGCGCGAAAGUGUGGGGAGCAAACCGG